AUCUGAAUCAGAAUUACCACCUGCAACAUCUGCCUCGGUGUCAUCACAAAUAAGAUCUUCUAUGACAUCUUCUAAUUUGCCAUCAACCUAUUUGAUCUACAACGGUGAGGAUGAUCAGAUUGAAGAAAAUCAGAUCAAAAGCGGCGUUGAAAAUCCUAGAACCGCCGACAACCCCUAACAUCCACAUUUCAACAAACAUUGACAAAAUCAAGAUGUAUGCAUUUAAAAGAAAAUCUUAAGCAAUCCAAUCGAAGGCCAAAGAACAGGCACCUAAAUUAAUCAAAAAAGCGCAUUCUAAAAAACAUCGCAUUGAAAUGGUUCUACAGUCAACUAACCCAUCUGUUGGAAAACCGAAAAGACCACCUCGUGAAAGCACGGUAGUUAAUCCACGUCAACGGCACGAAGUUCAAUUCAAACGCAAGCUCUCUCGUUGUUGGAUGUUUCUUUAAAAGCAACCCAAACCGCCACCGUUGCAACGCACGUCUUCUACAACUCCUUGCCCUUCAACUUCGUCGUCGCGGUCUGCAUCUCGUUCCUCGGUAGCUCCAAUGCCUAUCGUGAAGUGAAUUCGGCCAACACCCUGUUGCGGAUGGGAACGCAGAAAAACUACAUGAGUUGUGGGCUUUGCUGAAUUUUCUGUUGCCGGAUAUUUUCAACAUCGGAAAUGAUUUUGACUCCUGGUUCGACCCUAAUGAAUGCAUUGGGGAAAACAAAAUUAUUGAACGUUUGCAUGCGGUAUUGAAACCUUUCCUGCUCCUGAAAUCGGAAGUAGAGAAGAGGGUGCUGCCAAAAGGAGGUCAAAAUGCGAA